AGCGAACGCUGGCGGCAGGCCUAACACAUGCAAGUCGAACGAAGUCUUCGGACUUAGUGGCGGACGGGUGAGUAACACGUGGGAACGUGCCUUUAGGUUCGGAAUAACUCAGGGAAACUUGUGCUAAUACCGAAUGUGCCCUUCGGGGGAAAGAUUUAUCGCCUUUAGAGCGGCCCGCGUCUGAUUAGCUAGUUGUUGAGGGAAAGGCUCACCAAGGCACCGAGCAGUAGCUGGUCUGAGAGGAUGAUCAGCCACAUUGGGACUGAGACACGGCCCAAACUCCUACGGGAGGCAGCAGUGGGGAAUCUUGCGCAAUGGGCGAAAGCCUGACGCAGCCAUGCCGCGUGAAUGAUGAAGGUCUUAGGAUUGUAAAAUUCUUUCACCGGGGACGAUAAUGACGGUACCCGGAGAAGAAGCCCCGGCUAACUUCGUGCCAGCCGCCGCAGUAAAAC
rnacentral:rRNA from 1 species